rnacentral:lncRNA from 1 species
AUGGUUUCUUACUCCUUCUUUUCUGGAACAUCUCCGCUAUCAUCAAUAUUCAAUUUUCCCUCAGCUUCUAAUAGAUGGAAAUGCCAAUGCCAAGGUGGGCAGGUACGCACAGGUAGCCCCAGGGGUACCCCCAUCCCUGCUCCAGGACCCCCUCCCUCUUCCCACACAGGUGUGAGGGGCAGCCCCACCUGCACCGCUCCUCCCAAGGGAAUGGGAUGUGUGCAGCUCCCAGCCCAGCGUCCUGCUGGAGAUCCCAACUCACCUCAUGCCUCUGCCCAAGUCCUUGUGCAGCCCGCCAUGUUCCUGCCUCUCCUCAUGGAUCCGCGGCUCAGCCCAGAACCACUUUUAGAAGUACAAGACAAGUGAAGGAAAAAUGUUUACAAACUUCUGUGGAAAGAAUCAGAAUGGUGCUACAGAGACCACGUUAAGAGCUGUCAGCCCUGACCAGUUGAUUGUGUUUAAAGAUACUGAGGCAAAACCUUGAAAUCCAGUUCAGAGAAGGAUGCUGAGAACGCCCGUGCCUUUGAAAAGCAAUCCUGGCAGUAUAUGAAUUUGGUGUUUUAGCAGCCAAUAGUGAUUACACUUGAAAAGCAACUGGACAAAAUCAUGCAGGGAACAACUGGCAAGAACGGUUCCAUUCAAGCACUUUCACUGCUUUCAAAGAUCCUGAGUCAGAAAACUGUGGAAGCUGGUGAUGACUGAGGAGCAUCAGCAUCUCUGUGCCUUGUCCUCGUGCUUUUGCUGGGGCUGUGAGCAGACAGGGCUACUGCACCUUCGGUGUGAGCUACUGAAUCAUGCUUUAGGGUUAAGUUUUCUAUGUUGCAGCAUCCCUAACUAAAUAUCACAACUAUCUUUCCCCAUUUUGUUGUUUUAGUGAGCUGAUUUGAUUUGAAUCACAUUUUAGAGAUGUACUUUGCACUUCUAUCUAAUGAAUAAAAAUCUAAAAAGUGUCCUAAAAUAGAGAAAG